rnacentral:rRNA from 1 species
CGGGGUGAGUAAUGCCUGGGAAACUGCCUGAUGGAGGGGGAUAACUGCUGGAAACGGUAGCUAAUACCGCAUAACGUCGCAAGACCAAAGAGGGGGACCUUCGGGCCUCUUGCCAUCGGAUGUGCCCAGAUGGGAUUAGCUAGUAGGUGGGGUAACGGCUCACCUAGGCGACGAUCCCUAGCUGGUCUGAGAGGAUGGCCAGCCACACUGGAACUGAGACACGGUCCAG